rnacentral:misc_RNA from 1 species
UGUAGCAUCAUAUCAGUAAUUGUUAUGGUUGGGAUGUCCAAGUUUCUUAUUGCCCUGGCCAUAGCUGCAUUUGUGGGAGUUUUCAUUGGUCUCACCCUUGGACUUUUGGUAGUUGCCAUUUCUGGAACUGUUUUCCUAUGGCUUUAUGGAAGCUUCUGGACAACAAUAUUUGUCAUUAUCAUUGGAGGGUUGGCAUUCAUGUUGAGCCAUGAACGCCUUGCAUUAUUGAUCACCACUGUGUAUUCUGUAUAUUGUGCAUGGACAUAUGUUGGAUGGCUUGGCUUAAUUUUGGCAUUGUAUUUAUCUUUUAUCUCAAGUGACGUUCUGAUAUUCUUCCUGAAGAAUAACAUUAACCAGCGCAGAUCCAGUAGAUCCCCUGAACAAUCUGCAGGAGUGGAAGGUCAACCAGGCUUCUUCAAUAGUGAGUCCUUUCAUUCUUCUUUCUCUGAAACUAGCCCAGGGUUAUCAUCAGAUCGUAGCCCUGGAGUUCCCUCAACCAGUGGGGCAGAUGCUGAGUUGACUUCUGAAGAAGAAGUUAUACGGUUGUUGAACUGUACUGAUCACUAUUCGGUGCUGGGUUUGUCCCGUUAUGAGAAUGUGGAUGUUUCUUUACUGAAGAGGGAGUAUAGAAAAAAGGCGAUGUUGGUUCAUCCUGACAAGAAUAUGGGCAAUGAGAAGGCUGCGGAAGCAUUUAAGAAACUUCAAAAUGCGUAUGAGGUUUUGCUUGAUUCCUUGAAGCGAAAAGCUUAUGAUGAUGAAUUAAGGAGGGAAGAGUUGCUGAACUAUUUCCGUAAAAGCACUUCUCAGAAGAAUGGAGAGCACGGUUUCUUUGCCUCUGGAUUUGCUCAUUCAGAGGCUGAAGGUGAAGACCCUUUUGGAGAAUCAAGGCGCAUAGCUUGCAAAAAGUGCAACAAUUUUCAUGUAUGGAUACAGACAAAGAAGUCAAAAUCUCGAGCAAGAUGGUGCCAGGAUUGCAAAGACUUUCACCAGACAAAAGAUGGGGAUGGAUGGGUUGAACAAUCUUCUCAACCAUUCUUUUUUGGAUUAUUGCAGAAGGUUGAUGCUCCCACUGCAUAUGUUUGUGCAGAUGGCAAGAUAUAUGAUGCUACCGAAUGGUAUAUUUGCCAGGGAAUGAGAUGUCCAGCCAACACUCACAAACCAAGCUUCCAUGUGAACACUAGUGUUACUGCCAAGCACAAUACUUCCAAGGGAUCUAGUUCAGGACAAAGAAGUGGUCGGAUGCCAACAUCGAACAUGGAAGAGACCAUGACAGAGGAAGAAUUCUUUGAGUGGUUUCAGAAUGCUGUGCAAGCAGGUGUAUUUGACAAUUUCAAUGGCGGCGCUGCUGCGGAGAGCCCAUCUCCGAAGAGCAGUGGAAAUGGUAAUGGUAGUAACAGUGGUAACAAGAGGAAGAAAAAGGGCAAAAAGCAAUGGUGAAAGUAGAUAUUUUUCCAUACUUGAUUCUCUAAUUUUGUAAGCAUUUUACAAAACCUUUGAAAAGGGCGUAUAAGCUUCUUGAAAGGCCUGAUUGGAAAAGUAAAAAAAGUUUUUAAGUUCGAUUCCGAUGAGU